UAAACACAUGAAGGAGCUCUGCAGCGUUUCCUAGAUAGGAAAGUAAGGCUUCUGUUUUAGGCUACUAGCAUAUUCAGGGUCAUAACGCCCGUCGUUACGGCGUAUGUCAGGAGGCUACGGGACGAAUGCCUAGAUGGCAUCGACGGAUCGAAUGAUUACAGGAAAGUUCAACAGCUAGGCUAUCACAACAGGUGACUUAAUUAGGUUUUGCGAUUGGGCGCCAGGAUUCGUUUCUAAGGAAACGAAUGGAAUUACGCGACUCAGACGUCUCGUCCCUGUGCAGGCGCAGCUUCACGAAUUUGCUGUUUGAAAGAAUGUCAGCGUUAUAUGGAAUAAAUGAGUUUGGCCUCAUGUCUUCCAGAGUCCUUCCCUGGAAGCAAGACUGAAGAACUCAAAUCUCUGCCCUUCAUGUAGAUUUUCCGUGGCCACGUGGUGCAGUAAAGCCAUUUAGCCGUACCCUUGCUCCGAGGGGUAGCCGCGCUCCCAGUGGGGUCCAGCGUACGGGCCUGUGAUGGAUUGGGCUUACAGGGUGUUAGGGUGCUCCGGGACGAAGCAGGAGAACCCGGCCCUGGGAGAGAGGCUUCCUGCAGACGCUCUUUACCCUGGCGUCAGGGCUCUUUGUGUGCGCUUUAUCGCCGGGACGGCCCCAGGCGCCGCCGGGCGGGACGGGAUAAGUAGCGCGCGCUCUCCGCGCUCUCCGCGCUCCUGCCACUCUUUGAGGACGCGGCGUCUCCGGGGAUGUGCGCCUGUAAUGGCCAGCCGCUCCAGUUCUAAUGAUCUUCAAAAACACAGCUAUCGUUCAAACUGAUUAAACGUGCAGCCACUACAUUCAA